rnacentral:tRNA from 1 species
GGACUAUUAGUCUAGAAAAAGAUUUCUGAUUUCGACUCAGUAGAGCGUGAUUAAACCCACGAUAGUCUU